rnacentral:rRNA from 1 species
CCUACGGGUGGCAGCAGUUAGGAAUCUUGCGCAAUGGGGGAAACCCUGACGCAGCAACGCCGCGUGAAGGACGAAAGCCUUCGGGUUGUAAACUUCUUUUAGCAGGAAAGAAACAAAUGACGGUACCUGCAGAAAAAGCACCGGCUAACUCUGUGCCAGCAGCCGCGGUAAUACAGAGGGUGCAAGCGUUAUUCGGAUUUACUGGGCAUAAAGAGCGCGUAGGCGGUUUAAUAAGUCUGAUGUGAAAUCCCUGGACCCAAUCCAGGAAGUGCAUCGGAUACUGUUAGACUUGAGUACAGGAGGGGAGAGCGGAAUUCCAGGUGUAGAGGUGAAAUUCGUAGAUAUCUGGAGGAACAACAGUGGCGAAGGCGGCUCUCUGGACUGUUACUGACGCUGAGGCGCGAAAGCGUGGGGAGCAAACAGGAUUAGAUACCCCUGUAGUC